rnacentral:rRNA from 1 species
GCGGUAAUACGGAGGGUGCAAGCGUUAAUCGGAAUUACUGGGCGUAAAGCGCACGCAGGCGGUCUGUCAAGUCGGAUGUGAAAUCCCCGGGCUCAACCUGGGAACUGCAUUCGAAACUGGCAGGCUUGAGUCUUGUAGAGGGGGGUAGAAUUCCAGGUGUAGCGGUGAAAUGCGUAGAGAUCUGGAGGAAUACCGGUGGCGAAGGCGGCCCCCUGGACAAAGACUGACGCUCAGGUGCGAAAGCGUGGGGAGCAAACAGGAUUAGAUACCCUGGUAGUCCACGCCGUAAACGAUGUCUACUUGGAGGUUGUGCCCUUGAGGCGUGGCUUCCGGAGCUAACGCGUUAAGUAGACCGCCUGGGGAGUACGGCCGCAAGGUUAAAACUCAAAUGAAUUGACGGGGGCCCGCACAAGCGGUGGAGCAUGUGGUUUAAUUCGAUGCAACGCGAAGAACCUUACCUGGUCUUGACAUCCACGGAAGUUUUCAGAGAUGAGAAUGUGCCUUCGGGAACCGUGAGACAGGUGCUGCAUGGCUGUCGUCAGCUCGUGUUGUGAAAUGUUGGGUUAAGUCCCGCAACGAGCGCAACCCUUAUCCUUUGUUGCCAGCGGUCCGGCCGGGAACUCAAAGGAGACUGCCAGUGAUAAACUGGAGGAAGGUGGGGAUGACGUCAAGUCAUCAUGGCCCUUACGACCAGGGCUACACACGUGCUACAAUGGCGCAUACAAAGAGAAGCGACCUCGCGAGAGCAAGCGGACCUCAUAAAGUGCGUCGUAGUCCGGAUUGGAGUCUGCAACUCGACUCCAUGAAGUCGGAAUCGCUAGUAAUCGUGGAUCAGAAUGCCACGGUGAAUACGUUCCCGGGCCUUGUACACACCGCCCGUCACACCAUGGGAGUGGGUUGCAAAAGAAGUAGGUAGCUUAACCUUCGGGAGGGCGCUUACCACUUUGUGAUUCAUGACUGGGGUGAAGUCGUAACAAGGUAACCGUAGGGGAACCUGC